rnacentral:lncRNA from 1 species
UGUAAGUAAUCCACACAUUUCAAGAAUCAAAUUUGAUUGACAAUCAGUGAAAUAAUAUGUGGGAUAUGUGAAUGGAAGUGAUAUCAUUGGAUUUAUAGUUAUAAGCAUUUUCCAGUGAUAUCACUUUUUGUUUCACAAAUAAGGUGCAUAUUAUUGUUCUGAUUAUUAGUCAAACUUCGAUCUGUAGAUGUGCGGCAUAUUACGUAAAACAAAAGGCGGGAGUACCAAACACCAAACCAAGAAUGUUUAAGGUUAGUUGCUAACUAGCACAACUGAGCACACAUCCAGGAAAAGUGUGCUAUUGGGUGACAAAAAUAUAUAAUUUGAGCUCUACCUGACAUGUAUAGGCUACAGAAGUGACCAGCAGAGUUGUAAAAAGUUGCAGAGUGGAGCAUAUUGGAGAGGGUCAUUUUACAUGCAACUAGUUGAAAAAUGGAUGGCGUCGGCGAUGUCAUAUUCUCGAAAAAUUGGGCCUUUCAAAUAGCUGGUAUGCUUGCUAGGGUUUGAGCGGGAGAGAGAGAGCUGUGAGGGCGCGAGAGAGCCGGCCGUGGGGUCCUUUCCCACGGCCGGGCAAGAGGGAAAAGGGUUUUCCUUCUUAAUUCUUGCCUGCUUAGAUUGAUACAUCUCCUCUCUAUAUAUAGAGAGGUUUACUUGACUCCCAAGUAAGGCUUACUUGACCCCUAAGCAAACCCUAAGACUAACGGCCCAGGCCCAUCACGUACUCUAACACUACACCCCACCUGGACAUGCAGCUUGUCCUCGAGCUGCAACCUAAUGACGAUUCGACCCCACACAACCCUAACGCCUAAAAAACAAGCCUUUUACAUCUCGGCCUAUUGUAUUGACCUGAAAUAAGCUAACCCGAAUGAGACUCCGACUCUUUAUUUUUGACUCCGAACGAUAAGGCCAGAAUCCUCCGCGCGCCGAACUUGUGCGUUUGCAGCCCCCUUGGAUCCCAAGGACACCAUCGGGACCAAAGGAGUCCUCGCGGCGGCCGGCGGCGGAAUGCAGUGGUGCUACACGGUGUGCUCCUGUCGGUGACACCAUGUCUUCUCCCCGCCGGCUGACUGUCGAUGUCGCAGACUUGGAGGUCGUCGCCCGUGGGAAAAACAGCAUGCCCGCCGCCCGUGGGGGAAACCGCAUGCCCAAGAUCCCCCACGCAGCGGACGAGAUCGAGGUCCGUUGCACCGCGAAGCGCAACUUGGAGGAUCUGCAGCUGCAAAUCACGCAUCUCCCGCACAUGCCGACGCGCUAGGAGGCCGCGGGCAGUAGCCCGCAGCCUCACCGCCGCCGACACGUGGUGGGUAGCGAUCCAAGCCGGAAGCGGUGCCGGCGACGGCUGGAACUUGAUCUGUUGGAUGGGAUUGUCCUGGGACGGCGGUGGUGCUGCUGGGAACGAGGUCGUCGCAGUCCCGUCGUAGGGCAUCCCAUGCUGGAACGUGAUGACCGGCGCCGUGGUCGCAGUCGAGGGCGGCGGCGGCGGCCGUGCGGGGGUCGGCGCCGUGCUGUGACCAUGGAGGACCCCCGUGGAAUGGCGCAUCGUCGGGACCGGCGAAGCGGGAGAGCCCGCCGUACUGUUGGGGUGGCGCCGGUGGCUACCGGAUGUGCGGCGGCGCCCAGGCCGCCGUAUAGAUCAACCCGGAGACGGGGAGCGGCAGCGGCGGCUGCAGCAGCCUGGCGUCGAGUGGCGGCGACGACAGCAGCAACGUCGGCUGCCGCGGCCCGACGAUCGCGGCGGAGGCCGCCUGGUGCGGCGGCUGCCACGUCAGCCGUGCCGGCCCGUAGGCGGCGACUGAUGGCGCGGCCGGCGGCGGUCCGUAGGGACCGGCCAGGUAGAGGCAGAUCCCUUGGACGGCGGUGGUGAGAUCGCGGAUUGCUCCGGUGAUCUCCUCCGGGGUGAGGGCGACAGGAAGCGGCGGCGACGGGGUGAACAUGAUCGAGCCUGAGAAAUCUGAUACCGGGUCUUGGCCAGAGGUUGUAGGGGAAAGAGGGGAUCGGCUGUGGUCGCCGGCGCAGGGGCGCCGUCUCGCACGGAUGGGGGCGGCGGCGCGAUGGAAGAGGCGGGUAGGGUUAGGGCACCGGCUCCUAGUUGGAGCCGAUCAAAAUAGAUUGAUCUUUGCUCUGAUACCAGAUGGUAUGGUUGCUAGGGUUUGAGCGGGAGAGAGAGAGCUGCGAUGGCGCGAGAGAGCCGGCCGUGGGGGUCCUUUCCCACGGCCGGGCAAGAGGGAAAAGGGGUUUCCUUCUUAAUUCUUGCCUGCUUAGAUUGAUACGUCUCCUCUCCAUAUAUAGAGAGGUUUACUUGACUUUCAAGUAAGGCUUACUUGACCCCCAAGCAAACCCUAAGACUAACGGGCCCAGGCCCAUCACGCACUCUAACAAUAGCAUAGUGAAAUCAACCUUCUUUGUUAUGCUAUGUUCCAACUCAAGGCAAUUGUGAUGGCACUGAGUGAAUUUGUGGAAAAUAAAUAAAUUAUGAUAAGGUGGUAUAUGCUGUCUCAGUAGAUGUAUUUUAUGGAAAAAUGUUACCUAAUUGACGCCUCAAA